rnacentral:lncRNA from 1 species
AGAUCAACAGUGGUCUGUAUGGAAUGACAGCACAGAGAUCAACAGUGGUCUGUAUGGACUGACUGCACAGAGAUCAACAGUGGUCUGUAUGGAAUGACAGCACAGGGACCCACUUCGGCCUGUAUGGACUGACAGCACAGAGAUACCGACGUCGGUCUGUACUGACUGACAGCACAGGACCCACUUCGGCCUGUAUGGACUGAUAGCACAGAGACGCCAACGUCAGUCUGUACCAACUGACAGCACAAAGACCCACAUUGAUGUGUAUGGACUGACAGCACAGAGACGCCAACGUCAGUCUGUAUGGACUGACAGCACAAAGACCCACAUCGGUGUGUAUGGACUGAGAGCACAGAGACAGCAACAUCAGUCUGUAUUGACUAACGUAACACCAUGGUAACACCAACAUCAGUCUGUAUGGACUGACAGCACAGAGACCCACAUCGGUGUGUAUGGAAUGACAGCACAGAGACACUGAUGUCAGUCUGUAUGGACUGAUAGCACAGGGACCCACAUCGGCCUGUAUGGACUGACAGCACAGAGACAGCAACGUCAGUCUGUAUGGACUGAUAGCACAGAGAUCAACAGUGGUCUGUAUGGACUGACAUAACAGCAUGAUAACACCAACAUUGGUCUGUAUGGACUGACAGCACAGAGUCCCACAUUGCUCUGUAUGGACUGACUGCACAGAGACCCACUUCGGUGUCUAUGGACUGACAGCACAGAGACACCAACGUCGGUCUGUACUGACUGACUGCACAGAGACCCACAUUGGUGUAUAUGGACUGAUAGCACAGAGACCCACAUCGGUCUGUAUGGACUGACAGCACAGAGACACCGAUGUCAGUCUGUAUGGACUGACAGCACAGAGAUCAACAGUGGUCUGUAUGGACUGACAUAACAGCAUGAUAACACCAACAUUGGUCUGUAUGGACUGACAGCACAGGGACACCAACGUUGGUCUGUACCCACUGAUAGAACACCAUAAUAACACCAACAUCAGUGUGUAUGGACUGACAGCACAGAGACCAACAUUGGUCUGUAUGGACUGAUAGCACAGAGAUCAACAUUGCUCUGUAUGGACUGACAUAACAGCAUAACACCAACAUUGGAGUGUAUGGACUGACUGCACAGGGACCCACAUCGGCCUGUAUGGACUGACAGCACAGAGACCAACAUUGCUCUGUAUGGACUGACAGCACAGAGACCCACAUCGGCCUGUAUGGACUGACUGCACAGAGACAGCAACAUCGGUUUAUAUAGACUGACUGCACAGAGACCCACAUCGGUGUGUACAGACUGAUAGCACAGAGACACCAACGUCAGUCUGUAUUGGUGUGUAUGGACUGACAGCACAGAGACCCACAUUGGUGUGUAUGGACUGACAGCACAGAGACCAACAUUGCUCUGUAUGGACUGACUGCACAGAGAUCAACAGUGGUCUGUAUGGACUGACAGCACAGAGACCCACUUCGGUGUGUAUGGACUGAUAGCACAGAGACACCAAUGUCAGUCUGUAUGGACUGACAGCACAGAGACCAACAUUGUUCUGUAUGGACUGACUGCACAGAGACCCACAUCGGUCUGUAUGGACUGAUGUAACAGCAUGAUAACACCAACAUUGGCCUGUAUGGACUGACAGCACAGAGACACCGAUGUCAGUCUGUAUGGACUGACAGCACAGAGACCAACAGUGGUCUGUAUGAACUGACAUAACAGCAUGAUAACACCAACAUUGGUCUGUAUGGACUGACAGCACAGGGACACCAACGUUGGUCUGUACCCACUGAUAGAACACCAUAAUAACACCAACAUCAGUGUGUAUGGACUGACAGCACAGAGACCAACAUUGGUCUGUAUGGACUGAUAGCACAGAGAUCAACAUUGCUCUGUAUGGACUGACAUAACAGCAUAACACCAACAUUGGAGUGUAUGGACUGACUGCACAGGGACCCACAUCGGCCUGUAUGGACUGACAGCACAGAGAUCAACAGUGGUCUGUAUGGACUGACUGCACAGAGACCCACAUCGGUCUGUAUGGACUGAUGUAACAGCAUGAUAACACCAACAUUGGCCUGUAUGGACUGACAGCACAGAGACACCGAUGUCAGUCUGUAUGGACUGAUAGCACAGAGACCAACAGUGGUCUGUAUGGACUGACAUAACAGCAUGAUAACACCAACAUUGGUCUGUAUGGACUGACAGCACAGGGACCCACUUCGGUGUGUAUGGACUGACUGCAGAGAGACCAACAUUGGUCUGUAUGGACUGAUAGCACAGAGAUCAACAUUGCUCUGUAUGGACUGACAUAACAGCAUAACACCAACAUUGGAGUGUAUGGACUGACUGCACAGGGACCCACUUCGGCCUGUAUGGACUGACAGCACAGAGACAGCAACGUCGGUCUGUAUGGACUGACAGCACAGAGAUCAACAGUGGUCUGUAUGGACUGACUGCACAGAGACCCACAUCGGUGUGUACAGACUGAUAGCACAGAGACACCAACGUCAGUCUGUAUUGGUGUGUAUGGACUGACAGCACAGAGACCAGCAUUGGUGUGUAUGGACUGACAUAACAGUGUGAUAACACCAAUGUCAGUCUGUACCCACUGAUAUAACAUCAUAAUAACACCAACAUCAGUGUGUAUGGACUGAUAUAACGCUGUGAUAACACCAAUGUCAGUCUGUGCCCAUUGAUAUAACACCGUGAUAACACCAACAUCAGUGUGUAUGGACUGAUAUAACGCUGUGAUAACACCAAUGUCAGUCUGUACCCACUGAUAUAACAUCAUAACACCAACAUCAGUGUGUAUGGACUGCUAUAAUGCUGUGAUAACACCAGUGUCAGUCUGUGCCCAUUGAUAUAACACCGUGAUAACACCAACAUCAGUGUGUAUGGACUGAUAUAACACCGUGAUACCACCAACGUCAGUCUGUAUGGACUGACAGCACAGAGACACCGACGUUGGUCUGUAAGGACUGACGUAACAGCAUGAAAGCACCAACAUCAGUCUGUUCUGACUGACAUAACACCACGAGGACACCAACAUCAGUCUGUUCUGACUGACACAACAGCAUGGCAGCACCAAUAUCGGCCUGUAUGGACUGUUGUAACAGUGUGAUGGCCCCAAUGUCAGCCUGUACUGCCUGAUAUAACACCACAAUAACACUGACAUCAGCCUGUACUGCCUGACAUAACACCACGACGACACCAAUGUCAGCCUGGUCCAACUGACACCCCAUGGCAGCACCAACAUCAGGCUGUACUGACUGACAUAACACCAUGGCAGCACCAGCAUCAGUCUGUUCCGAUGGACAUAACAGCAUGGCAGCACCAAUAUCAGCCUCUAUGGACUGUUGUAACACUGUGAUGGCCCCAAUGUCAGCCUGUUCUGACUGACAUAACACCGUGAUGACCCCAAUGUCAGUCUGUUCCGACUGACACCCCAUGGCAGCACCAACAUCAGGCUGUACUGACUGACAUAACACCAUGAGGACACCAACAUCAGUCUGUUCCGACUGACACAACAGCAUGGCAGCACCAAUAUCGGCCUGUAUGGACUGCUGUAACACUGUGAUGGCCCCAAUGUCAGCCUGUUCUGACUGACAUAACACCGUGAUGACCCCAAUGUCAGCCUGUUCCGACUGACAUAACACCAUGAGGACCCCAAUGUCAGCCUGGUCCAACUGACACCCCAUGGCAGCACCAACACCAGGCUGUACUGACUGACAUAACACCAUGAGGACAGCAGCAUCAGGCUGUAUUGACUGACAUAACAGCAUGGCAGCACCAAUAUCGGCCUGUAUGGACUGUUGUAACACUGUGAUGGCCCCAAUGUCAGCCUGUACUGCCUGAUAUAACACCACGAUAACACUGACAUCAGCCUGUACUGCCUGAUAUAACACCAUAGCACUGACAUCAGCCUGUACUGCCUGAUAUAACACUGUGAUAACACUGACAUCAGCCUGUACUGCCUGAUAUAACACCGUGAUAACACUGACAUCAGCCUGUACUGCCUGAUAUAACACCGUGAUAACACUGACAUCAGCCUGUACUGCCUGAUAUAACACUGUGAUAACACUGACAUCAGCCUGUACUGCCUGAUAUAACACCAUAACACUGACAUCAGCCUGUACUGCCUGAUAUAACACCACCAUAACACUGACAUCAGCCUGUACUGCCUGAUAUAACACCGUGAUAACACUGACAUCAGCCUGUACUGCCUGAUAUAACACCAUGAUAACACUGACAUCAGCCUGUACUGCCUGAUAUAACACCAUAACACUGACAUCAGCCUGUACUGCCUGAUAUAACACCAUGAUAACACUGACAUCAGCCUGUACUGCCUGAUAUAACACUG